AUGGCCCAUGACCUUCUCUUCAGGCUUUUUCCACUUUUGGCCCUGGGAGUCCCCUUACAAAGCAACCGCCUUGGCCCCACAUCUCGCCUGCGCUAUUCCAGGUUCCUAGAUCCUUCUAAUGUCAUUUUCCUGCGUUGGGACUUUGACCUUGAGGCUGAAAUCAUCAGUUUUGAGCUCCAGGUCCGUACAGCUGGCUGGGUGGGCUUCGGUGUCACAAAUCGCUACACCAACGUGGGAAGUGAUCUGGUUGUUGGAGGAGUCUUGCCUAAUGGCAAUGUCUAUUUCUCGGAUCAGCACUUGGUGGACGAAGACACUCUGAAGGAGGAUGGGAGCCAGGAUGCUGAGCUGCUGCGGCUGACGGAAGAUGCUGUCUACACCACCAUGCACUUUUCCAGGCCCUUCCGCUCCUGCGACCCUCAUGACCUGGAUAUUACGAGCAACACCGUGAGGGUGCUGGCCACCUAUGGCCUGGAUGACACUCUGAAGCUGUAUCGGGAGCGUACUUUUGUCAAGUCCAUCUUUCUGCUACAAGUCGUCCACCCUGACGAUCUGGAUGUCCCUGAGGACACCAUCAUCCAUGACUUGGAGAUCACUAAUUUCCUCAUUCCAGAGGAUGACACCACGUAUGCCUGCACCUUUCUUCCUCUCCCUAUUGUGAGCGAGAAGCAUCACAUUUACAAGUUUGAGCCUAAGUUGGUCUACCACAAUGAGACAACGGUGCAUCACAUCCUGGUGUACGCCUGCGGCAAUGCUAGCGUUCUCCCCACAGGCAUCAGCGACUGCUAUGGGGCCGACCCUGCCUUCUCCCUUUGCUCACAGGUCAUCGUGGGCUGGGCUGUCGGGGGCACAAGCUACCAGUUUCCAGAUGACGUAGGAGUCUCUAUUGGGACCCCCUUGGACCUUCAGUGGAUCCGACUGGAGAUUCAUUACAGCAAUUUUAACAACCUUCCUGGUGUGUAUGAUUCCUCGGGGAUUUGCGUGUACUACACUUCUCAGCUGCGCAAAUACGACACGGAUGUCCUCCAGCUGGGCUUCUUCACGUUUCCCAUCCACUUCAUCCCCCCGGGCGCUGAGUCCUUCAUGUCCUAUGGGCUGUGUAGGACGGAGAAGUUUGAGGAGAUGAAUGGAGCUCCUAUGCCUGACAUACAGGUGUAUGGCUACCUGCUGCACACCCACUUGGCUGGACGGGCUCUGCAAGCAGUGCAAUACAGGAAUGGAACACAACUUCGAAAAAUCUGUAAAGACGAUUCCUAUGACUUCAACCUGCAGGAGACUCGAGAUUUGCCCUCUAGAGUGGAGAUCAAGCCGGGAGAUGAAUUGCUGGUAGAAUGUCACUACCAGACACUGGACCGUGACUCCAUGACAUUUGGAGGCCCCAGCACCAUUAAUGAGAUGUGCCUCAUCUUCCUCUUCUACUAUCCCCAAAAUAACAUCUCCAGCUGCAUGGGGUACCCUGACAUUAUCUACGUGGCCCACGAGCUGGGGGAGGAGGCAUCAGAGUGA